rnacentral:rRNA from 1 species
GGUUGAUCCUGCCAGUAGUCAUAUGCUUGUCUCAAAGAUUAAGCCAUGCAUGUCUAAGUAUAAACAAAUCUAUACUGUGAAACUGCGAAUGGCUCAUUAAAUCAGUUAUAGUUUAUUUGAUAAUACCUUACUACUUGGAUAACCGUAGUAAUUCUAGAGCUAAUACAUGCUAAAAAACCCGACUUUACGGAAGGGUUGUAUUUAUUAGAUAAAAAACCAAUGCGGCCUCGGCCGGUUAUUUGGUGAUUCAUAAUAACUUUGCGAAUCGUAUGACUUUGCGUCGACGAUGAUU